rnacentral:rRNA from 1 species
GACGAGCGCUGGCGGCGUGCUUAACACAUGCAAGUCGAACGGAAAGGCCCUGCUUUUGUGGGGUACUCGAGUGGCGAACGGGUGAGUAACACGUGAGUAACCUGCCCUUGACUUUGGGAUAACUUCAGGAAACUGGGGCUAAUACCGGAUAGGAGCUCCUGCUGCAUGGUGGGGGUUGGAAAGUUUCGGCGGUUGGGGAUGGACUCGCGGCUUAUCAGCUUGUUGGUGGGGUAGUGGCUUACCAAGGCUUUGACGGGUAGCCGGCCUGAGAGGGUGACCGGCCACAUUGGGACUGAGAUACGGCCCAGACUCCUACGGGAGGCAGCAGUGGGGAAUAUUGCACAAUGGGCGGAAGCCUGAUGCAGCAACGCCGCGUGCGGGAUGACGGCCUUCGGGUUGUAAACCGCUUUCGCCUGUGACGAAGCGUGAGUGACGGUAAUGGGUAAAGAAGCACCGGCUAACUACGUG